CCUACGGGGGGCUGCAGUGAGGAAUAUUGGUCAAUGGACGAGAGUCUGAACCAGCCAAGUAGCGUGAAGGAUGACUGCCCUAUGGGUUGUAAACUUCUUUUAUAUGGGAAUAAAAUGUUCCACGUGUGGGAUUUUGUAUGGACCAUAUGAAUAAGGAUCGGCUAACUCCGUGCCAGCAGCCGCGGUAAUACGGAGGAUCCGAGCGUUAUCCGGAUUUAUUGGGUUUAAAGGGAGCGUAGGUGGAUUGUUAAGUCAGUUGUGAAAGUUUGCGGCUCAACCGUAAAAUUGCAGUUGAAACUGGCAGUCUUGAGUACAGUAGAGGUGGGCGGAAUUCGUGGUGUAGCGGUGAAAUGCUUAGAUAUCACGAAGAACUCCGAUUGCGAAGGCAGUUCACUGGACUGCAACUGACACUGAGGCUCGAAAGUGUGGGUAUCAAACAGGAUUAGAUACCCUUGUAGUC
rnacentral:rRNA from 1 species